UACGUAGGGUCCGAGCGUUGUCCGGAGUUACUGGGCGUAAAGCGCGCGCAGGCGGCGGUGCUGGCCCGGCGUGAAAGCCCCCGGCGUCAACCGGGGACGGGUCGUCGGGGACCGCACCGCUUGAGGGCGGUAGGGGCUGGUGGAAUGCCGUGGUGUAGUGGUGAAAUGCGUAGAGAUCAGGCGGAACACCCGUGGCGAAGGCGGCCAGCUGGGCCGUCCCUGACGCUGAGGCGCGAAGGCGUGGGGAGCGAACGGG
rnacentral:rRNA from 1 species